CCUACGGGAGGCAGCAGUGGGGAAUAUUGGGCAAUGGACGCAAGCCUGAACCAGCAAUGCCGCGUGAAGGAAGAAGGCUCUCGGGUUGUAAACUUCUUUUCUCAGGGACGAAGACAGUGACGGUACCUGAGGAAUAAGACACGGCUAACUACGUGCCAGCAGCCGCGGUAAUACGUAGGUGGCAAGCGUUAUCCGGAUUUAAUGGGUGUAAAGGGCGUGUAGGCGGGACUGCAAGUCAGAUGUGAAAACCAUGGGCUCAACCUAUGGCCUGCAUUUGAAACUGUAGUUCUUGAGUACUGGAGAGGCAGACGGAAUGCCUGGUGUAGCGGUGAAAUGCGUAGAGAUUAGGAGGAACACCAGUGGCGAAGGCGGUCUGCUAGGCAGCAACUGACGCUGAGGCGCGAAAGCGUGGGGAGCAAACAGGAUUAGAUACCCCAGUAGUC
rnacentral:rRNA from 1 species